UACGAAGGUGGCAAGCGUUGUUCGGAAUCACUGGGCUUAAAGCGUACGCGGGCGGAUUAUCAAGUGUCCUUUGAAAUCCCACGGCUCAACCGUGGAAUUGGGGGGCAAACUGGUAAUCUUGAGGCAGUUAGGGGUGGGUGGAACUCUUGGUGGAGCGGUGGAAUGCGUAGAUAUCAAGAGGAACGCCAGAGGUGAAAACGACCCACUGGGACUGUCCUGACGCUGAGGUACGAAAGCGUGGGUAGCGAACGGGAUUAGAUACCCCGGUAGUCCACGCCGUAAACGAUGCCUACUAAACCAUAGCACUCUGACUGUGUUAUGGUUGUAACAAAAGUAUUAAGUAGGCCGCCUGGGGAGUACGGUCGCAAGGCUAAA
rnacentral:rRNA from 1 species